CAAUGCAUCGGUGCAGCAGGUCGAGUGACAAUACUGAUGUGCUUGUUCAAGCUGUGCCUGGAACUGGAAGUGAACAUCUGAUGUGAGCACUGCACAGUGAUGACUAGUUAGUGAUGCAAUCGCUCAGAGGAGAAGAUAAGAAUCAGGUGGGUGGUACUGUUCCGGGGAUGCAACGCAGCAUGCGUGUGCGAUGCUGCCCUGAUCUUCAGGUAUCGGGUCGGGGCUACACGGUUGUGAGUGGCUUUUGCCGUGUGAGGUCCUUGUCUCUGCAGAUCUUGACCUUUUGUUGUUGAUUCUUUUGAGAAUUUGGGUCCUAUACCUUCUUGGUGCGGGUAUCGGGAUCCGGGCAAAGCAGGUUGACGAAUCAUUCUGUGGUGAGUUAAUUUGAUGCUUUAACACGAUCACCCUCCCAUUGAUGUCAUGUCGCCCUCAGAAUUGAUACGGCGCGCUGGAUUGUUAGCAGUUAGUGCUCCCUCCUAAAUAUUGUUGGGUGAAUAUAUCUAUAGUUCGCGAAAUAUAAGCAAGUACUUUUGGGUAACUAACUAGUGACACCAACUUCAUCUCCCGGACCAA